rnacentral:rRNA from 1 species
UACGAAGGGGGCUAGCGUUGCUCGGAAUCACUGGGCGUAAAGCGCACGUAGGCGGAUCUUUAGGUCAGGGGUGAAAUCCCAAGGCUCAACCUUGGAACUGCCUUUGAUACUGGGGAUCUCGAGUCCGGAAGAGGUGAGUGGAACUGCGAGUGUAGAGGUGAAAUUCGUAGAUAUUCGGAAGAACACCGGUGGCGAAGGCGACCUUCUGGGCCGCCACUGACGCUGAGGCACGAAAGCGUGGGGAGCAAACGGG